GAGCAUGUAACUUAACGGAUAAAGCACCAGGUUCCGAUUCUGGUAGAUGAAGGUUCAAUCCCUUCCAUGCCCA
rnacentral:tRNA from 1 species